GAGAAGAACGUAGCGAAAUGUGAUAAGUAGUGUGAAUUGCAGAAUUCAGUGAAUCAUCGAAUCUUUGAACGCACAUUGCGCCUUCUAGUAUUCUGGGAGGCAUGCCUGUUUGAGCGUCAUUAAACCUCUCUCAAGUAUGAUUACUUGGAUGUGAAGGAAGAGUACCUUAAACUUAAGGAGUGUUCUCCUUUGAAAUUGAUUAGCAGAUGGUAAUGUUAUUAAAUCCCUGAUGUUGUAAGAAAUAACAGUGGUUUUGUAGACUAUUAUCUAGCUUUAAAUUAUAAUUUUUAUUAUGGUUGACCUCAAAUCAGGUAAGGAUACCCGCUGAACUUAAGCAUAUCAAUAAGCGGAGGA
rnacentral:misc_RNA from 1 species